GACGAACGCUGGCGGCGUGCUUAACACAUGCAAGUCGAACGGAAAGGCCCUGCUUUUGUGGGGUGCUCGAGUGGCGAACGGGUGAGUAACACGUGAGUAACCUGCCCUUGACUUUGGGAUAACUUCAGGAAACUGGGGCUAAUACCGGAUAGGAGCUCCUGCUGCAUGGUGGGGGUUGGAAAGUUUCGGCGGUUGGGGAUGGACUCGCGGCUUAUCAGCUUGUUGGUGGGGUAGUGGCUUACCAAGGCUUUGACGGGUAGCCGGCCUGGGAGGGUGACCGGCAAAGGGGGGAAGGGAGUAGGGCGCGGGCUCUGGGGGGGGGGAGGGGGGGGGAGUGUGGAAAAGGGGGGGGAAGGCGGGGGGAGCAAGGCGGGGGGGGGGAGGGGGGCGUUGGGGUUGAAAACCGUUUUCGCCUGGGACGAAGGGUGGGGGAGGGGAAUGGGAAAAGAAGCACCGGUAAACUGGGG
rnacentral:rRNA from 1 species